AUGCAGGAGACCCCUGACACCACCGUGGAGUCUCUUUUCUGUGGCCAGCUAGAGCUUUCUGAACCCACCUGCAUGAUGCACCACAUGAGGCCAAUUAAGUGUGUGGCAUUUGAAGGAACCUUAACUGGAAGGCGUUUCUAUGGUUGUCCAGUGCAGCAGAGUGAAGGUGUUAACUGUGGUGUUACUGAGUGGGUUGACAAGCCCUGGCAUCCAAUUCUUCAGAAUUGCUUGUCCAGGCUGUGGGACAUGUACCAUGAACAGAAUUGUGGCAGGGUAGUUGAUAAGCAGAAGUAUGAGAAGCAUUUGGCCAAGCUUAAGACUGAAAAUGACAAGCUGUGCAUUGAGUACACAAAGCUUGUCCAAGAUGUUUGA
rnacentral:rRNA from 1 species